rnacentral:lncRNA from 10 species
UCAGCCUCUUCCUAUUUCACAAGUAGGGAAACUGAAGCCCAGGCUGUUUGCUCAGUUGCAAAAUGGGAAGGACAACAGCACCCGCCUCACAGGCUAAGAGGCUGUGUGUGAAAAGCCCGCAGCACAGGAUCUGGCACGCGUGGACGUGCGGGAUGGGAGGAGGGGAUUUCCCAGCUCCUCAUCUCUGCAGGGACUGGCCUUGGCCUAGGGAACACUAGCUGUCCAGGGAGGGGGAGCUUUCCCUGAGCCCCCCGAUGUGUGGCAGGCAGAGGAGAGCAAGCUACUUCUGGGAGGGGAGUUGUGGGGAAGGGCAAGUUAGUCUUUACUGAGGGUGGCAGUGAGCUGGCACUUUGGUCUCACCUCGGCUGCAGAAACCCACCCUGCUCCCGUCUUAUUUCCUGGGGAUUUCAGCUGUGUGCAGGCACAGAUGCAUCUCCCAAGUGCCUCAUGCUUGCCUUGAUCUCCUCUCCUUCCUCUGGCCAGUCCUGAACCUCUUGGUGAUCCACGGCGGCACCUCUGUGUCCUACAUCCUUCUCUGGCCAUCUCCUUCCCUCCUUCCAGCCCUCCCUCUAGGACCCUGACCCCAACCAUCCUUCAUCCCCAUGGGGACAUUCAGUCCACUGACUCAUCACCCUCCCCUGUCCCUCUGUG